GACUGCGGAAAGUGAGAAAUAAACCACAUGUACAGUACAAGUGCAUUACAGACAAUAGUUCCACCUCCUUUAGAAGUCCUAUGAUUAUUGGAGAAAUAAGUGUCACCAAGCAAAGUUGGAACCGAAUUCCUAAUCAAGAAUAUCAUCAUAGCAUUAACAUCAACAAAAUUUUCAAUGUUGGGAAACAAGACCAAACCAUAGAUGAGUAAGGCCAGAAUAGUUUCAAAGGCCAUCAUGCUAUUAGCAUUAGCAAAAGAUAAAGCUUUC
rnacentral:lncRNA from 1 species